CUUAUACAUUUUACACCUUUGGCCCAAGGCUGGCUCAUCAACCAUCCUCAAUUCCCUUCUGCUUCUGUCUUCCACCCCUGCAGGUAAGGUGGGGGGUCAUGUGAAACAGUUUUAUACCCACAAACAUACAAAUGAGAAUGUUUUUGCUUUCAUGAUAAAUCACACGCUCUUAGCUGGUGCCAACUCUUUGCCCUUCUUCCCUCCCGCCCUGAGUGCAGGCAUCAUGCUUGGAUUGAAGCAGCUGUUUUUGCUGCCAUUAGGGAAAGUCCAGGGAACUAGAGUUGCUGGAUCUGCCACUGCUAAAAUACUAAAAGAAGAAGCUUGUUAACAUGAAUCAAGACACUCAUAACUCGUGACUGUCAGCUUUCAUAUUUGGUGUCUACAAUGUUUUAUGUCACUUCAACAAUGGGACCCAGUGGCAGUUUUAUACCAUCAUGAAGACAGAUGUAAGCUGAUGAUUAAUAACAUUCUUUCAUGGCACAAAUUGCUACCUAUGAUUAGGCAGAGUUAAUACACUUAGGGGUGACAGCUUCUGACUCAAAUUAACAGUAUUUAAUAUGCUCUGACAGCUGGUAAUUGACUAGCAAAUGGAAAUAAAUGUUAAAGGAAUCUAGAACUUUUUGCUGCAUAAUAAAUGACUCCUCUGAUUGCUUUAUUAAUGAAGUUCUUUGGCACUGAGCUCAGAUUUGAUCAGUUACAAAUAAUAUUUAUCAAUGGCAA
rnacentral:lncRNA from 1 species